GAUGAACGCUGGCGGCGUGCCUAACACAUGCAAGUCGAACGAACACACGGGGGCUUUGCCCUUGUGACGAUAGCCGCGGGCGGGAGUGUAACAUGUGGACAUCCCCUCUAUAAGGCUGUGGCCACUCCGGGAAAGCGGUGAUACUACCUGCGAAUAACUGGAGAAAGCUGGUUCACUUGUGACAGCCGGCUUUGCUGUUACUCGUUGAUUGAUUCGCGCCGGAUUAGCUAGUUGGUAAGGUAACGGCUUACCAAGGCGACGAUGAGUAGCCGACCUGAGAGGGUGAUCGGCCACACUGGAACUGAGACACGGUCCAGACUCCUACGGGAGGCAGCAGUAGGGAAUCUUCCGCAAUGGGCGAAAGCCUGACGGAGCAACGCCGCGUGAGUGAUGAAGGUCUUCGGAUCGUAAAGCUCUGUUAUUAGGGAAGAACAACUGUGUACGUAUCUAUGCACGUCUUGACGGUACCGGAUCAGAAAGCCCCGGCUAACUACGUG
rnacentral:rRNA from 1 species